rnacentral:rRNA from 1 species
AUUGAACGCUGGCGGCAGGCCUAACACAUGCAAGUCGAGCGAGCGGCGGACGGGUGAGUAAUGUCUGGGAAACUUCCUGAUGGAGGGGGAUAACUACUGGAAACGGUAGCUAAUACCGCAUACCAUCAGAUGUGCCCAGAUGGGAUUAGCGGGUAGGUGGGGUAACGGGUCACCUAGGCGACGAUCCCUAGCUGGUCUGAGAGGAUGACCAGCCACACUGGAACGGAGACACGGUCCAGACUCCUACGGGAGCCAGCAGUGGGGAAUAGUGCACAAGGGGCGCAAGCCUGAUGCAGCCAUGCGGAGUGUGUGAAGAAGGCCUUCGGGUUGUAAAGCACUUUCAGCGGAGAGGCGUUACCCGCAGAAGAAGCACCGGCUAACUCCGUGCCAGCAGCCGCGGUAAUUC